rnacentral:rRNA from 1 species
UACGUAGGUGGCAAGCGUUGUCCGGAUUUACUGGGCGUAAAGAGCGCGCAGGCGGUCAUUCAAGUCGAGUGUGAAAGCCCCCGGCUCAACUGGGGAGGGUCACUCGAUACUGUUUGACUCGAAGGCGGGAGAGGGAAGUGGAAUUCCCGGUGUAGUGGUGAAAUGCGCAGAUAUCAGGAGGAACACCGGUGGCGAAGGCGGGUCUCUGGGCCGAUACUGACGCUGAGGAGCGAAAGCGUGGGGAGCGAACAGG